ensembl:lncRNA
CCUCACUGACACGCGGCGGACUUCCAGCCAGUGCUGCGGGCAGACUGGGCAAAUGGGGCUGGGCACACAAAAAGCAGCAGCCAAAGAGUCAGCUUCCCUGCUUACAGGGGACCCCCGGCCACUGCCGCCAUUGAAAAGGGCCUGGGACUCCGGGACACAGAUGCUCCCUGACUUACAGGGCAGCCCCCAUCCCUACGGCCGAGGGAGGCUCCUUCUCUCCCAGUCCGGGGCACCUCGACCCACACCCCGCUAGCGGGGCGGUCACCCCACACAGGCUGCCAGCAGAGCACAAACGCUCGCGCACCCAGACCCUGAUUACAGGCGGGUGGACAACACCCCUGGAGCCACAGAGCUCGGUUUCCCCCCCAGCGGCAGGAGCAACUCUCAGCAGCCAGGCAGCGGGGCGGCACGGCCAAAGGCCGCAGUCGGGAUCCCAGCCCCGAUUCCAGGGAGGGCGCAAGCCCCACCCCGCGUCUCACGGCCCCGCGCCUCUGAAAGGCCGGGGCCACAUUCCCACCUGAGUACAGGGGGUCUCUCAGAACGCAGCUCACCAAGCACACACGGGGGGCACACACAGCCCUGCCUACAGGACGGUACCCCCACACCUCACCCUCUUCAAGAAGCCCCGCGGAGCACGAGGCUCCCGCCAACGCCUGAGCUACAGGCUGGCCCGCCCGGCAGCAGCAGAACAUCACCAACGUCUCGUCUUUGGAAGCCCAGGGAGCUACCUCGACCCACCGAGCGGGGAGGUCACCCCACACACAAACAGCACCUCAACCUGCACCCUCUGACGGGACAGGGAGGGGUCACUCCCACCAGCUGGAUGGCUAAAGCAGCCGGCUGCAACGCUGCAGCCUCCCCACACCUGAUUACAGGGCGGGCGGGCUGCUCAGGGACAGAGGGCUCCGAAGCUUGGGACACACACCCCGAGUACGGGGCUGUCACCGCCGCCAGCAGGACAGGCGGCCACGCAAGGACAGGCCCAAGCCCUGGCUACAGGGAGGCCUUGGCCACAGAACUACCGUGUGGCUCUGAUCUGCACUAAGGAAAAUAGUAGGAAGACAGGACACUCGCUGCGCUCGCAGGACUAAGAGGGAACACCCCUUUUGCGGCAUGCACCAAAGUCCUCCAUUCCCCCCCGGGAAGUCAAAGCUAAGCUGCAGCCAUCUUUGUGGAGGCCUAAAGGGAAAGCACAGCCGCUCAACCACUCCACAAACACAAACAAGGAAAGGAAGGGGAACACGCACACACAGGCACGACUUUCCAGAAGGGAAGGACAACGCAGCACAGCCAACACCUGGGAAUAAACCCACAACCACGGGCAACAGACAAGAGCCUGUGACCUGUCCCUAGGCUGCACGGAGGCCACAGACCUCAACGUGCCAAGGGGCUUCUCAGGUAAAGCCAGCGGCCAAAAGCCGUGACGCACACCCCGAGUACGGGGCCGUCGCGUUGACAAGCCACCAUCAGGCAACGAUGCCGAGGGGCCGGGGGAGGAAGAGGGGCAGGGAAACGGCACUACCCUGCUUACAGGGUGGCCUUGGGGUCCGGCGAGCUCCAUUUCCCACUCAGGUGCGG